AAAGAAAGAAAGAAAAUAAUUUUAUUUUGACAACCACAGAUUCAGGCAAUAAAGACAUUACAUAAAAAAAAAUAUUACUAAGUUGCCAAAAAAGGUCACCCACUCAGUAAUAUCUUGACAGUGUGACUGCCAAGACACUGAUUUUCAGUGGGUGCCUUUUUGCAGCGCUAUUUAUCAAAAACAGAAGAAAAAAGAGUAAAAAAAUAAUAAUAAAAAUCAUAAAUUAAGCAUUCAAUACAUUGAUCAAUUAUAAAAAAUUUAAAAUUAAAUAAUAACAAGAUGCAUAACUAAUUAAAUUAAAAACAUAAAUAACAAUAUUAAUAAUACAUACAUAGACAUGUCACAAACAAAAACCAUUUCUACUGCACGGCCAUAAAAGUCGAGGCAGAGACAGAAGAGAAAAAAAAAAAAAAAAAACACAUUAAAAAAAAAAGUAUCACUUGUCAAGUUGACUUGACAUUUGCCACGUCCACCAGCCACGUAACUAAAAUAAAAUUAACAAUCGGUUUCUAAUAAGUAAUCUGUGAUCGGUUUUAGCAAUAAUGUACAUAGUUAUUAACUUAACUUUUAUAAAAUUGUGAUUAAAUUCCAUUGAGUAGAAAUUAUAAUAUUGUGGUUAAAAUAAAUAAAAAUGUCAAUCAGGUGCCGAAAAUUGAUGAACAUGAUAGGGUGUUCAGUAGGGGAGACCUAAAUACAUUUAAUUGGGAUCUCAUUCAACCACCCAACGAGAGCAUCGGAACGACUAAGGGCAUAAUGGUAAAAGGGAACUAAGAAGAGUAGCGUUCUCAAAGCCGGAACGACGCCAAAGCCCAACGAACGACGUGCGUGCUCCGAUGUGCACGCAAUGGUGGGGGCAAAUCGUUCCAGCAUCGAGACGCUGCAAAUCUAAACGAUCCUCGAAAUGCCGCUGUACGAUGUCUCGGAGUGAGGAAGACGUGAGUAAUCACCCUUCUCUUAUGCUCACUGCGACAAGGUGCACGGACUAGCUUGUCCAAGAGAUAUUGCGGCCGUCCUGUAUUAAUGACGCCGAACAACAUUGUCGCCAAGUGCAACUUUCUACGGGCCUCCAUCUUCAUCUGAUUGGCUGCAUUGAGGAAUGGCGUAACAUGAGACCGUGGCGGGACAUGGAAGCAGAAGCGAGCACAUGCAUUUUGAACCCGCUGCAACAACUUCGCUGAACUUGCUAACAGACAGGGCCC